rnacentral:rRNA from 1 species
UGUGCAGAUGCAGUGUACCCGCGGCAAGACGGAAAGACCCCGUGAACCUUUACUAUAGCUUGACACUGAACACUGAGCCUUGAUGUGUAGGAUAGGUGGGAG